rnacentral:rRNA from 1 species
GUAGGGGGCAAGCGUUGUCCGGAAUUAUUGGGCGUAAAGCGCGCGCAGGCGGUCAUGUAAGUCUGGUGUUCAAUCCCGGGGCUCAACCCCGGAUCGCACUGGAAACUGUGUGACUUGAGUGCAGAAGAGGAGAGUGGAAUUCCACGUGUAGCGGUGAAAUGCGUAGAGAUGUGGAGGAACACCAGUGGCGAAGGCGACUCUCUGGGCUGUAACUGACGCUGAGGCGCGAAAGCGUGGGGGGAGCAAACAGGAUUAGAUACCCUGGCAGUCCACGCCCGUAAACGAUGAGUGCUAGGUGUUAGGGGUUUCGAUACCCUUGGUGCCGAAGUUAACACAUUAAGCACUCCGCCUGGGAGUACGGUCGCAAGACUG